AUUGCGAGGGCCAGCGGGAAGCCUCUAGCAGGCGGCUCUGGCCUGGCAGAGGAUCCCUGUUUCCCCCACUUUUUUUCCCUUUUCACCCAAUAAAACCCAGCUUUAUUCACCCUUUAAACCGUCUCCAAGCCUAAAUUUUCCUGGCCAUGGGACGGACAAGAACCCAGUCUUAGCUGAACUAAGGAAAACUCCUGCAUCGUUAUUGGCGCACAACGUGGGAGCUCGAGAAAUGAUAAGAAAUACUGCCAAGGUUAAUGGUGGAGAGAAAAGGAGGUCCUUAUAAUAUUCCUUGGCUUCUCCCCUCGCUUUCAGGCCUCAAAACAACUAAUUCAGCCUAAGAAUACAUCUGUCUGCUAAUUCGCCCUGAGAAGAAGUUGCAAGUUAAAAAAGGUCUUUUCGGCUGGCUGACUGUGCCAGGAACUGCAUGGUAACCUCUGUGACCUGCACAUACACCUCCAGAUGACUUCCUGGAACUAGAAAGUCUUAAGUAACUGGAAAACC